ACACAAACUGGUCCUGGAUAUCAUCCCUUGGGUGAAGAUCAGGCUCACCAUGCACUCGAUUCCUCUAGCCGGAUGAUCCAACUUAUCUAAAACGAACUCCAGACUUUCCAGUUCGAGCUUCUUGAAAGACCACUUCCUUAUGCCAUAGCUCUCGUCACACUCGAAGAAUUAGCGUCUGGUGCUCACAACCAUUUGACAACAAGCUUCCAACGAUCGGCUUCCAAGCUACGAGGUCAUCUUCCAACGAUCGGCUUCCACGUCUAUCUGUCUCAUCGAGCAGGGGGUGGCAAGAUGAACUACCCAGCCAAGAGGUCUAUAUUAUAAACUCUUUUUCCAGGCCGGAAAACCAUGAUGCUUGAUGUCAUGAGAACUCCUGCAGGUGAGCGGGGCUAAGCCACACAAGCAUUCUCCAUCUGUUCAGCAAGUGUAUCAGUCAGUACGAGAAACUCAGGAAGAAGCAGGCUUUCUUGGACAAUUACCGCA